AGGAAAUCCAGCAGGCAUCCUAAGAAAAAAGAAGUUGCAAGUGCCCUUCUGCAAAGUGACCCGCCCCUGGUGGUGCCAGCCUCUCUCUGGUUAACCUGAGCCCGGGGGAGUGAAGAAGCCACUCAGAAGACAGAGAGCUUGCUCGGAGGUGAUCCCUUAACCAAAAUCGGGGUAAGUGCCCAGGUGCCACCCCAUUCCAGGUGCCAGAGCUGGAACAUGCAGUUCCGGAGGCCAUGGUUGUGUGGUGCCUACCUUGUGUUCCAGGUCCCUUCUAUAUGGGGCCUCAGGCAGUGGAGGAAUGUACCCUGCCUGGGGGGCAUUUCACCUAUUUGCCCCACACCCUGGGCCUGUGUCCUUCUGUCCUGCACGGAACCUAUGUCCUUCCCCCACCCCUCCCCUACAUAAUGAGUCUCUUCUAUCACACAAUAACUCCUUGGUGGAAAUAAGCACACAGCCUGGGGUACACUGGGCAGGAGGAUGAGGCAUGGGGGUAUCCUUCCCUCCUUCUGAAGCCCCAUGGCGAUCCUGUCCCACUCCUUAAACUACCUGUAUCUCCACACUCUCCCUGUACUCCGUGAAGUCCCCUGAAGGGCAAAAGACAACUCUACUUGCCUUUCUAGAGGACAUGGGCCUUGGCAGGGACCUGGGUACAGCUCCUGCCAAAAGCACCCUGGGCAUCAGCCCCAGGUAAGGGAGCACUCAUGGACCAGCCCCAGGUAAGGGAGGACUCAUGGACCAAUCCAGGGAUAAAACGGAACAUGAGUUUUAUAUCCUGGUGGGUGGGGGGGAAGGGGGCAGGUGUCAGCAGCGAUGGAAAUGUGAGGACACCAGGCCUGGAGCUUCAGUGACUUGGCCAAAGUCCCACGGCUGCCCUCGGUGUGCACUCAGGCUCUGAAACGUCAUGGCUCAUCACGUUUAACCUCCUGUUUCCAUCUGGGUGAUGAAAAGCUAAGGGGAGUUAACGCGCUGCUGCAGCUCAAUGUCAAAGCCAGCUUCAGGCAGAGAACGAAGGAGGGAGCGACUUCGGGGCUGGGUUAUUGUUUUCCCGCAGGCAAGUGGUAGCAGAUGUCAAGGGUUAAGGACAAUUUAGGAGGUUAAGAGUUUCCAGGCUGCACUUGUGUCGGGUGCCUCGGGCGAUGAGCCCAGGAGCCCGCUCUCCACGCAGUGACGCUUCCCAAGCUGGUGCUUUAGGCCCCUCACUUGCCUGGCUGCUCUAAGGCCCCGUCCCUGAUGGCUUCUGACAAUUUGGUGUCCUUUGUAAAGACGACCUCAGAUCCUAUCAGCUUCAGUUUCACAAAACCUGGAUCCCCUGCCUCUGUGGUAUGUCUGGACUGCCCUGGGCAGGCAGGGCCUGGCUCUGAGAUGAAGAUUUCUCAGCACUGAAGGACCGCCUGCCUUUGAGCUGUGAAACUAGUCUGUCCUCACAUAGACACCAGUAAACUGAGGCUUGAGAGGCUCAAGGACACCCCGGAGGCCACGAAGGGUAGAACUCACUCCCCUGCUUCCAUCCCUGUCUUGCAUUCACUGCUGUGGCUCCCAGAAGCAGAGGAGUCUUGCUUUGGAGUUGUGUGUGUGUGCAUAUGUACGUGUAAGGUGUGUACAUGUGUUGCACACGUGUGCGAUGCAUCUGUGCAUAUGUGCACAUGUAUAUAUGUGUGCAUGUGUGUGUAUAUGUGCAUGCGUGGACAUGUGUAUAUGUUUGCAUGUGUAUGUGUGCACACAUGCCUGUGUAUGCACGUGUGUAUGUGUGUGCAUUUGUGCAUGUGUGUUCAUGUGUGCAUGUGUAUGUGCGUGUGGUGGUGAUGAUAGUUGAACAGUCCUGCAGCCCUGGUCCCAUCUGGCCUAUUCCCAACUUGGACUGGCUUCCUGGGGUGGACAUGGACAGGAAAAGAUGCCAGACUCAUAGAGAACCCCUUCUUCCUCCACACCAGAUUGGGUGGGGGGUGGGGAGGCUUUCACCUUAGCAAUAGGCAAUGGUUGAAAUAUCAUUUCCAGGGUGACAUGACAUGAUGUUUGGGAUUUACUUCGAAAGAACAGGGGUGGAGCGGGGGAUACAGAUGAAACAAGACUGGCUCAGUUGAUAAUUGUUGAAGCUGGCUGUUGGGUACCAGGGGUUCCACUAAACUAUUUUCUCUACUUCUGUGUAUGUUUGAAAUGUCCUGGAACAACAAUAAAACACUUAUGUCAUCUCCA